ACACUCUGAAGGCAGAAGCUGUCUAGAUGGCGGAAGACGUCCAUCCCGCAGGGCUAGAGACAGAGCUGAAGAACGGAGCAGCUAGGAGAGGCAAUGAUAGGGUUUCAAUCUGUGUUCCCUGCUAACCUGGAACUUACUACGUCGCCUAAACCUCCCUCAACUCUUCCUGCUUCAACGUCCCAAGUACUGUAAUUAGAGGUUUGAGUGACGGUAGCUGCUUGACUGUAUUCAGGUGUAACUGAAGACUCACUAUGUGGUAAUACAUGCGGGGACCCUGGAAAUCUGAUCUAAAUUGGCUUCAUCACAAGCACAAGCCCACUGCUAUGAGAUAUCUGAUUCUCACUCCUGAAGGGGAAAAAAAUCUCUG